UCCCUGGUGGCUCAGUGGUAAAGAAUCUGUCUGCCAGUGCAGAAGAUAUGGGUUCCAUCCCUGGCCAGGGAA
rnacentral:tRNA from 1 species